GAUGAACGCUGGCGGCGUGCCUAAUACAUGCAAGUCGAGCGAACAGACGAGGAGCUUGCUCCUCUGACGUUAGCGGCGGACGUGUGAGUAACACGUGGAUAACCUCCCUAUACGACUGGGAUCACUUCGGGAAACCGGAGCUAAUACCGGAUGAUAUAUUGAACCGCAUGGUUCAAUAGUAAAAUACGGUUUUGCUGUCACUUAUAGAUGGAUCCUCGCCUCAUUAGCUAGUUGGUAGGGUAACGCCUUACCAAGACAACGCUGCGUAGCCGACCUGAGAGGGUGAUCGGCCACACGGGAACUGAGACACGGUCCAGACUCCUACGGGAGGCAGCAGAAGGGAAUCUUCGGCAAUGGGCGAAAGCCUGACGGGGAAACGCGGCGGGAGGGAGGAAGGUCUUCGGAUCGUAAAACUCUGUUAUUAGGGAAGAACAAAGGUGUAAGUAACUGUGCACGUCUUGACGGUACCUAAUCAGAAAGCCACGGCUAACUACGUG
rnacentral:rRNA from 1 species